GACGAACGCUGGCGGCGUGCUUAAUACAUGCAAGUCGAACGGACAGGCCCUGAUCUUGUGCCGCUCUCGUUUGGCGAACGGGUGUGAGACACGCGUGUAUCCUCUACCUGUAUUUCUGAUAUCUUCUGGAAACUGGGGCUAAUACCGCAUAGGAUCUCUUGCUGCAUGGUGUGGGAUGGAAAGUUUCGGCGGUUGGGGCUGGACUCGCGGCUUAUCAGCCUGUUGGGCGGGUAGUUGCUUACCAAGGCUUUGACGGGUAGCCGGCCUGAGAGGGUGACCGGCCACAAUGGGACUGAGAUACGGCGCAGAAGCCAACGGGAGGCAGCAGUGGGGAAUAUUGCAGAAUGGGCGGAAGCGUGAUGCAGAGACGCCGCGUGCGGGAUGACGGCUUUCUGGUGGUGAACCACUGUCGACUGUGACGAAGCGUUAGUGACGGUAAUGGGUAAAGAAGCACCGGCUAACUACGUG
rnacentral:rRNA from 1 species